UGCUGCCAUGCUCCCACCUUGAUGAUGAUGGUCUGAACCUCUGAACCUGUGCUGGGAGGACAGGCACAUGUCCCUAUGUUCAAUGAACAUGAUUCUGGCUAUUGAACACAGAGAAACUACAGGCAUGUGGCACUAUGUUCAACUUAUUCAAGGCUGGGGAAUCAAAUAUAGGGAUUCAUGCUUUCUAGCCUCUUCUGUUCCCGCUCGCGGCAGUACGACGCUAACGACAACUGGAACCUAGCCCCCAGUGGGCUCUCUCCGGGAUGCUGCCUGGAGAGGCUGCUUCUACUACCAACACUCCUG